rnacentral:rRNA from 1 species
GAUACCCUAUUAUUGUAAGUGUAAAAGUUUAAACUGGAAUUAUUACUAGCUAUGGUCUUCAAAGUUAAAUAUUUUGGCGGUAUUUUAGUCUUUUCAGAGGAACCUGUUUUUUAAUCGAUAAUCCACGAUGAAUCGUACUUUAUCUUUAAAUUUAUAUAUCGUCGUGAAAUAAAUAUUUUAUAAGGAUUUAAAUGUUUAGGAUUUUCAAUUAUAAAUUAAUUCAGAUCAAGGUGUAGUUGAUGUUAAAGUAAAAAUGGGUUACAUUAGGUUUACUUGUGGUUUGUUAUUUGAAAAUUAGCAAUAAAUUGGAUU